rnacentral:rRNA from 1 species
GGCUUUUUGAUAAUAAUUUAAAGUUUAGCCUGCCCACUGAAAAUUUAAAGGGCCGCGGUAUUUUGACCGUGCUAAGGUAGCAUAAUCAUUAGUUUUUUAAUUGAAAGCUGGAAUGAAUGGUUGGAUGAAAAAAUAACUGUCUCUAUUUAAUUUUUAUUAGAAUUUUAUUUUUAAGUUAAAAAGCUUAAAUUUAUCUAAAAGACGAGAAGACCCUAUAGAGUUUUAUAAAAUUUUUUAUUUAAAUUUUUAGAAUUUUAAUUUUAAAGAUAAAAUUUUAUUUAAUUGGGGCGAUUAAAAAAUUUAAAUAACUUUUUUUUUAUUUUUACAUUAAUAAAUGAAUAUUUGAUCCAUAGAUAAUGAUUAUAAGAUUAAAUUACCUUAGGGAUAACAGCGUAAUUUUUUUUGAGAGUUCAAAUCGAAAAAAAAGAUUGCGACCUCGAUGUUGGAUUAAAGUUAAUUUUUGGUGUAGAAGCUAAGAAUUUUAGGUCUGUUCGACCUUUAAAAUUU